UCGUACGGCCAAACCAGCAUGGCAAUACCCGAUCUCGUCCGAUCUCGGAAGCUAAGCAGGGUUGGGCCUGGUUAGUACUUGGAUGGGAGACCGCCUGGGAAUACCAGGUGCUGUAUGCU